ACGCGUCCUUAAAAUAUGAUGAAACAGAAUGUAUUCAUACCUAAUUUAAAAUCAAUAGUAAAGGGACUGGUGUUUAUUUUAAUCGAUUUAGACCUAAAAGCCAGACCAAACAGCAUGAGUUGUAUUUGACGGAUUUCAAGUUUGAAAACGGAUUAUGAAUUUUUUGUAGGUUCUUCAUACCAGGGUAUAUUGGAAAUAGAAAUAUAUUGUUAUUUUACUGGAAACUGGAAAACAAUUUGAUAGCUUUUAGUAUUUUGCCUUUUACUCGUGAUAAGGAGAACUAAAAUUUAAAAAAAAUAAUUCCAACGUAUCCGUAGAAUCUAAAGAAUCGUAACACGUUUUCAAAGUUGAAAUCCAUUAAACACAACUCCUACAGUUUUGUCUCGGUCUAAAACAUCGUAUUCGUUCGUAAAAACGGUCAUACCUAUUCCACUUAAAUGUGUAUCGAGUAGUACAUUAAAAGGAAAAAGUAUUAUCAUUAAUUUGGUCAUUAAAAUGUAAAAAAAAAUUGAAAUUAAAAUCAUU